rnacentral:rRNA from 1 species
CAGCAGCCGCGGGAAUACGAAGGGUGCAAGCGUUACUCGGAAUUACUGGGCGUAAAGCGUGCGUAGGUGGUGGUUUAAGUCCGUUGUGAAAGCCCUGGGCUCAACCUGGGAAUUGCAGUGGAUACUGGCUCGCUAGAGUGUGUCAGAGGAUGGUGGAAUUUCCGGUGUAGCAGUGAAAUGCGUAGAGAUCGGAGGGAACAUCUGUGGCGAAGGCGACUAUCUGGGCCAACACUGACACUGAGGCACGAAAGCGUGGGGAGCAAACAGGAUUAGAUACCCGCGUAGUCCCUGUCUCUUAUAC